rnacentral:rRNA from 1 species
UACGUAGGGGGCUAGCGUUGUCCGGAAUCAUUGGGCGUAAAGCGCGCGUAGGCGGCCAGAUAAGUCCGGUGUGAAAGUCACAGGCUCAACCUGUGAAUGCCGCUGGAAACUGUCUGGCUAGAGUCCGGAAGGGGCGAGUGGAAUUCCUGGUGUAGCGGUGAAAUGCGCAGAUAUCAGGAGGAACACCGAUGGCGAAGGCAGGUCUCUGGGCAUUAACUGACGCUGAGGAGCGAAGGCAUGGGGAGCGAACAGG